CCUACGGGUGGCAGCAGUGAGGAAUAUUGGUCAAUGGGCGAGAGCCUGAACCAGCCAAGUCGCGUGAAGGAUGACGGCCCUACGGGUUGUAAACUUCUUUUGUCAGGGAGCAAUUGGGUCCACGCGUGGGCUUAGCGAGAGUACCUGAAGAAAAAGCAUCGGCAAACUCCGUGCCAGCAGCCGCGGUAAUACGGGGUAUGCGAGGGUUAUCCGGAUUUUUUGGGUUUAAAGGGUGCGUAGGGGGAAUUUCAAGCCAGCGGUAAAAAUUCGGGGCUCAACCCCGUCGGGCCGUUGAAACUGACGUUCUUGAGUGGGCGAGAAGUAUGCGGAAUGCGUGGUGUAGCGGUGAAAUGCAUAGAUAUCACGCAGAACUCCGAUUGCGAAGGCAGCAUACCGGCGCCACACUGACGCUGAAGCACGAAAGCGUGGGUAUCGAACAGGAUUAGAUACCCGUGUAGUC
rnacentral:rRNA from 1 species